rnacentral:rRNA from 1 species
AGUGAACGCUGGCGGCAGGCCUAACACAUGCAAGUCGAACGGCAGCACAAGAGAGCUUGCUCUCUGGGUGGCGAGUGGCGGACGGGUGAGGAAUGCAUCGGAAUCUGCCCAUUUGUGGGGGAUAACCUCGGGAAACCGGGACUAAAUACCGCAUACGACCUACGGGUGAAAGCAGGGGAUCUUCGGACCUUGCGCAGAUGGAUGAGCCGAUGCCGGAUUAGCUAGUUGGAGGGGUAAAGGCCCACCAAGGCGACGAUCCGUAGCUGGUCUGAGAGGAUGAUCAGCCACACUGGGACUGAGACACGGCCCAGACUCCUACGGGAGGCAGCAGUGGGGAAUAUUGGACAAUGGGCGCAAGCCUGAUCCAGCCAUGCCGCGUGUGUGAAGAAGGCCUUCGGGUUGUAAAGCACUUUUGUUGGGAAAGAAAAGCAGCCGGUUAAUACCCGGUUGUCAUGACGGUACCCAAAGAAUAAGCACCGGCUAACUUCGUG